CAUGCAAAGUCGAACGGUAGAGAGAAGCUUGCUUCUCUUGAGAGCGGCGGACGGGUGAGUAAUGCCUAGGAAUCUGCCUGGUAGUGGGGGAUAACGCUCGGAAACGGACGCUAAUACCGCAUACGUCCUACGGGAGAAAGCAGGGGACCUUUCGGGCCUUUGCGCUAUCAGAUGAGCCUAGGUCAGGAUUAGCUAGUUGGUGUGGUAAUGGCUCACCAAGGCGACGAUCCGUAACUGGUCUGAGAGGAUGAUCAGUCACACUGGAACUGAGACACGGUCCAGACUCCUGCGGGAGGCAGCAGUGGGGAAUAUUGGACAAUGGGCGAAAGCCUGAUCCAGCCAUGCCGCGUGUGUGAAGAAGGUCUUCGGAUUGUAAAGCACUUUAAGUUGGGAGGAAGGGCAGUAACCUAAUACGUUGCUGUCUUGACGUUACCGACAGAAUAAGCACCGGCUAACUCUGUGCCAGCAGCCGCGGUAAUACAGAGGGUGCAAGCGUUAAUCGGAAUUACUGGGCGUAAAGCGCGCGUAGGUGGUUUGUUAAGUUGGAUGUGAAAUCCCCGGGCUCAACCUGGGAACUGCAUUCAAAACUGACAAGCUAGAGUAUGGUAGAGGGUGGUGGAAUUUCCUGUGUAGCGGUGAAAUGCGUAGAUAUAGGAAGGAACACCAGUGGCGAAGGCGACCACCUGGACUGAUACUGACACUGAGGUGCGAAAGCGUGGGGAGCAAACAGGAUUAGAUACCCUGGUAGUCCACGCCGUAAACGAUGUCAACUAGCCGUUGGGAGCCUUGAGCUCUUAGUGGCGCAGCGUACGCAUUAAGUGACCGCCCUGGGAUUCGA
rnacentral:rRNA from 1 species